CGUCCCUCGUCGCGGCCUCCGCAGCGCAGGACCAAAGACCUGCGACUGCAGUCCCAUUUAGAGUUUCCCACGCUGCUCGGGCCUUGCUGUCUGACUGAAACUUGGUCUGGGAUAUGAUCGCUUGCGGUCUCUUCUGUGAAGCCUGGAAAGGAGAGACUCGAAGACUUUCUUAUAGCAGAGUUUCUUGCUGCAGUGAAGAAUUAUUGAAAAGCCAGACCCUGUCCUAGAUGCUAGGAAGAUAGGAGCUAAGCAGCCUGCUACAGCCUUGUGACCCAAGGCUCUGGAAUGGAUCAGGCCUCCUACUCCCUCCUGCGCACACUGCUGUGUCUCCAUGGAAACGGCUUGUCAGGCCCUGCUUGGCAGCAGAAAUGAGAAACCAACUUUUUGGCAUGGACCUACAUGAAUGAGAUGUGAAAAGAAUGGAUUCUGUCUUAGACUGGGCUCCCCUGCUUCCAGUAUGAGGUUGGCACCACAGAGAGGAGGAAAGCCUUUAGGCAGAGAAGGACACAAUCAAAGACAAGGCUCACUUUCUCCUCUGCAUGCUGAGGAUCAAAUCCAAGGCCUUGCACAUGCUAUGCAAGUGCUGUACCAUUGAAUGGUACCCCAGCUCUACAGAGGUGAUUCUGGAAGUCAAAGAGAGAUUGAAAAAGUUAAAAAUGCCAGCUAGGUCAAGGCAAUGAACAGCAAUCUACAAGAUAUGAGGAAAAAUAUCAUCCAACAUACUGAAGCACAUAUGAAUGAGUGAUUAUAGAAUGGCAAUGUCUUUGAUACCUAAGAUCCAAAUAUGAAUUCAGCAGCCCUCCAUCCAUGCCUGAGAGGCUGGAUCCACCUCCCACCUUAGACCAAGAUUCUACACAUUAUUAUUUGACCUCCUCUGAAAAACUCAUUGCCAGCUUCAUAACCCAAUCUGGGCACACUCCCCGUAGGGGCCGGCAUUUCCUGUGGAUGAUGCGAUGGUUUCCUAGGUGACGGUGGGAAGGAAUAGACCUGUUAGCUUGUGGCUUCUGACUCACUCACUGCAAUGGACGUCACAGAAUCCUGGCUGAACAAAUGGAUGCUGAUAAUAAGCUUGUGUUUAAGGUAGCAGCAAGGUACCAAUGGUUAAAACAAUCCCUUUGUAACCUCUCUCUCCCACUAGGUAAGCCAACACACCUACAGAAAUAACAGAUUUGAAAACACAAACAACAUAUCUAAAACCUCUCUGAACUUCCCAUCGUGUAUAAAUUCACAACAGAGUCCUAUUUACAACCUUAAUAUUCUGCUUCUUUCCCUGCAGAUUUCCUUUCCAUUUCUGGAAUGUGGAAGUCUAAUGAAAUGAUAUAUGGAGGCUGAAAAGGGAAAGGUGGAAACAAGUCAAAAACUCAUCAAAAGUCUGUUUAUUAAGCUGACAGCUGCUUUUGAACUUGUAUGUGUGUGUGUUACUAGGGACUGACCCCACGGGCACCCUGCCACUGAGCUACAUCCCUGGUUCCUCUCUUUUUGAAGAUAGGGUCUCCCUAAAUUGCCCAGGCUGGCUUUAAACUUAUGAUCCUCUGGCCUCAGCCUCCCAAGUAGCUGGGAUUACAGGCUUGUGCAGAGAGCCACUUUUGUUGCAUUUGUUCCCUGAGAGGGGCAAGUAAACUCACAGUACACGAAUGAAUCAUCAGAAGCCAGAACAAAAAAUAUACUCUGCUGAGCAAUUAAUCUUUAGAAAAGUUGGAUUUUAUGAACCCUGAACAAGGAGAGAGAAAGAGAGAGAGAGAGAGAGAGAGAGAGAGAGAGAGAGAGAGAGACAGAGGCAGAGGCAGAGAUUUCUAACUACCUUUUGCUUUCAACAGAUCCCAGCCAUGUACAAGUCAAGGAAAGCUGCCUGAAAUAAAAAGUCCAGAGUUCUUUUGUUCCUCAUGUCUGAACCAGUGAAGACUGAAUAGAUUCUUGAAUUCCUUAAAUGACCAGCAAACCUAAAGGUUCCCAAGUAGAGAUAAUGAAUCUUGUUUUCCUCAGGCCUUGAGGGAUGCUUUAAAUAGCAUCAGCAAGCAUCUGAAUGAAUUAGACAGCAAAUGUAGGUUAGCUUUAUUUAGACAGAUAAAGACAAGCAGAAAAACUUGUCUGGUUCAAGGGCAGUGCACUGUGACAUGACGGUAUUUCUCAGAGGAGGAAAAAUUGCUUUGGGAAAAUUUGGGCAAAGAACAAAGUUCUUUGUAUCACCGGGGCAGAGAUGCUAAGCUCUUCAGUACAGAAGAGCAGAAUUUAAGAAUGGCCUGCCACUCAUUGAAGGAGAGGGCCAUAGAUUCACAAAGUGAAACAGAACUUAGCACCUCUUAGUUCAUACAUUGUCUUUUCUCAUUCCCAUCAUUUGGGAACCGCAUUAGAAAGGAUAAGUUUCCGGGCUGGGGAUUUAGCUCAGUGGUUUUGCCGCCUGCCUCACAAGCACAAGGUACCAAAAAAAAAAAAAAAAAAAAAA